GAGUUUGAUCCUGGCUCAGAGCGAACGCUGGCGGCAGGCCUAACACAUGCAAGUCGAACGAUCCUUCGGGAUAGUGGCGGACGGGUGAGUAACACGUGGGAACGUGCCCUUUGGUUCGGAACAACUCAGGGAAACUUGAGCUAAUACCGAAUGUGCCCUUCGGGGAAAGAUUUAUCGCCAUUGGAGCGGCCCGCGUCUGAUUAGCUAGUUGGUGAGGUAAAGGCUUACCAAGGCUACGAUCAGUAGCUGGUCUGAGAGGAUGAUCAGCCACAUUGGGACUGAGACACGGCCCAAACUCCUACGGGAGGCAGCAGUGGGGAAUCUUGCGCAAUGGGCGAAAGCCUGACGCAGCCAUGCCGCGUGAAUGAUGAAGGUCUUAGG
rnacentral:rRNA from 1 species